GGGAGUAAAAGUCGUAACAAGGGCUCCGUUGGUGAACCAGCGGAGGGAUCAUUAAUGGAAUCGCAAGAUCCCACAACCCUCGUGAACCUACCGAAACGUUGCCUCGGCGGGCGCCCGGCCUUGCGCCGGGCGUUGUGCCCGCCGGUGGCCCACUACUCUGUCUCUGCAGCGUGGCAUCUCCGAGUAUACAAAAACAAGUAAAAACUUUUAACAACGGAUCUCUUGGCUCUA
rnacentral:misc_RNA from 1 species